rnacentral:rRNA from 1 species
AUUGAACGCUGGCGGCAGGCCUAACACAUGCAAGUCGAGCGGAUGAACGGAGCUUGCUCCUGGAUUCCGCGUCGGACGGGUGAGUAAUGCCUAUGAAUCUCCCUGCUAUUGGUGGAUAACGUCCUGAGACGGGCGCUACUACCGCCUACUUCCUGAUGGAGAUACUUGGGGGGCUUCGGAACUCACGCUCUCAGAUGAGCCUACGUCGGAUUAGCUAGUUGGUGGGGUAAGUGCCUACCGAGGCGACGAUCCGCAACUGGUCGGAGAGGAUGAUCAGUCACACUGGAAGUGAGACACGGGCCAGACUCCUACGGGAGGGAGCAGUGGGGAAUAUUGGACAAUGGGCGAAAGCCUGACCCAGCGAUGCCGCGUGUGUGAAGAAGGUCUUCGGAUUGUAAAGCACUUUAAGUUGGGAGGAAGGGCAGUAAGUUAAUACCUUGCUGUUUUGACGGUACCAAGAGAAUAAGCACCGGCUAACUUCGUG